AGGAGAGUUUGAUCCUGGCUCAGGAUGAACGCUAGCGGCAGGCUUAACACAUGCAAGUCGAGGGGCAGCGCGGGGGUAGCAAUACUUCUGGCGGCGACCGGCGAAAGGGUGCGUAACGCGUGAGCGACAUGCCCGCGACCGGGGUAUAACCGAUGGAAACGUCGACUAAUCCCCCAUAACAUAGGGAGUGGCAUCACUCUUUGUUGAAAUCUCCGGAGGUCACGGAUUGGCUCGCGUCUGAUUAGCUAGUCGGCGGGGUAACGGCCCACCGAGGCGACGAUCAGUAGGGGUUCUGAGAGGAAGGUCCCCCACAAUGGAACUGAGACACGGUCCAUACUCCUACGGGAGGCAGCAGUGAGGAAUAUUGGUCAAUGGGCGGAAGCCUGAACCAGCCAUGCCGCGUGCAGGACGACGGCCCUAUGGGUUGUAAACUGCUUUUGCUGCGGAGCAAUAAGGGCGUCGUGCACGUCCGAUGAGAGUACGCAGCGAAUAAGCAUCGGCUAACUCCGUGCCAGCAGCCGCGGUAAUACGGAGGAUGCGAGCGUUAUCCGGAUUUAUUGGGUUUAAAGGGUGCGUAGGCUGUGCGUUAAGUCAGGGGUGAAAUGCCGUCGCUCAACGACGGAGCUGCCCUUGAUACUGGCGUGCUGGAGUACGGAUGCCGUUGGAGGAAUGAGUGGUGUAGCGGUGAAAUGCUUAGAUAUCACUCAGAACACCGAUUGCGAAGGCAUCUGACGAAUCCGUCACUGACGCUGAGGCACGAAAGCGUGGGGAUAGAACAGGAUUAGAUACCCUGGUAGUCCCU
rnacentral:rRNA from 1 species